CCUAGCAAAGGUCAAGGCACAGCCAUCCACCACCACCUGCCCUCCUCCACUCUGGGAGCUUCCAUUCGGGUUCUGAAAUCUAAGCCUUAUAAGAAGAAACAUCAGAGGGAAUCUGGGGGACUCCUUUAGGAGGUACCAGUUCUAGGGAUUUUGCUGGGCUUUUCAAAGGGCCUUCCAUUGGAUAUUCCCACCUAAAAUGCUUCCGGCUUGCCGUACCUCAGAACACAGUGCUUGGCACAUAGCAGUUUUAAGGUACCAGAUGCAGUCUCCACUGGCGUCACGGCAACAUUGGAACCAGGACUGUGGGAAGGAUGCUGCAGCCAGGCUGGCAGGAAACCCCAAGAAGCCAAGGUGCCUGGAGCUCAAACCCAAGGUCCUCUAUAAUUUGGAUCCAACAUGGAUGAUUUUACAUAAGAAGAUGUGCAGAGAGCAACUAUCCUGA
rnacentral:lncRNA from 1 species